UUGAAAAUACUCCCAGAUCAUCAAUUCAGUUUUCGGAAACAAAAUUCAACAGUAGAACAAAUCCAUCGCAUAACACACAUUAUCAACCAAACCCUUGAAAAGAAAAAAUAUUGCUCAGCGAUAUUCCUAAACAUUCAACAGGCAUUCGACAAAGUAUGACACGAAGUACUACUAUACAAACUUUAAAAAAUCCUACCACACACCUACUACUCCAUCUUAAAGUCUUACCUAACCAAUAGGCAACUCAUGGUCAAAUACUUAGGCGUCACUUCCACAACGUUCCCAAUAGAAUCUAGCAUACCCCGAGGUAGUGUCCUCGGACGCCUGCUGUUCUCCAUCUACACUGCCGAUUUACCAACAUCAACAGAGAUAACAAUAGCAACAUUUCCUGACGACACAGCGCUACUAGCUUCCCACGCUACCCGAUAAUUGCUUCAUCCACUCUCCAGCGAUGUCUCGACUCCAUGGAAAAGUGGUUUCAUAAAUGGGGCUUCAAAAUUAAUG